CCUUUACCUGGCAAGGAUCCCCUCUGGCGGAUCAUCAGGAAGGUAUUUUUUUAGGUUGAACAGGACUUUCACUUUUUGUUUGUUUUAGCACCGUCAAUAAAUGUCUCAGAACCCAAGUCUUCAUCCAUCCGGGAAACUCCAAGGUUGUUUUAGUAAUCUUCAUCAGCUCAGUCUGGAUCUUCUUUGGCAUUUCUAUGAAAUAAAAGAUCACAAAUAGGCAGAGAGUGGGGAGGGAGGAGCCGGCUUGAGUCAAAGGCAGAGGCUUAACCCACUGAGCCAACCAGGUGCCCCAAGUCUUCUCUGUUUUGCAUGGGCCCUGAAGUGAAAGUCGGAAGACGGUUCCAGUGCCAGGAUGCAAGGCUCCGCACUCCAGAGCCCCCCCAGUGUCUGACAGUAGCUGCUGCUUCUGUUCUUUCAUUCCCAUUGUGGCCCCAAAGUGUCAAGAGAUUCAGAAAGACUUUGAUACCGCAUGACUGUCCCAACAUAUCUUCACACUCAUCAACUGUUUCAAGGAGUUGUGAAUUUCAGGAUGAAAAGUUCUCCCUAAUAUUCCUUCCCAGGUAAAGCCUCUUUCUGCUAGUGGUUCACCCUGGACAUAGGCAUGACUGGCAGACUGUAGGACCAGGCUGUAAGGAAGGGGGCUGGACUCUGGAAAACAGUAUGGACGUUCCUCAAAAAGUUGAAAAUAGAGCUACCCUAUGACCUAACAAUUGCACUCCUGGGGAUUUACCCUAAAUCACAAAUUUAGUGAUUCGAAGGGGCAUGCACCCCAAUGUUUAUAGCAGCAAUGUCCACAAUAGGCAAACUAUGGAAAGAGCCCAAAUGUCCAUCAACAGAUGAAUGGAUAAAGAAGAU